CCUACGGGAGGCAGCAGUGAGGAAUAUUGGUCAAUGGGCGAGAGCCUGAACCAGCCAAGUCGCGUGAAGGAUGAAGGAUCUAUGGUUUGUAAACUUCUUUUAUAUGGGAAUAAAGUGAGGAACGUGUUCCUUUUUGUAUGUACCAUAUGAAUAAGCAUCGGCUAACUCCGUGCCAGCAGCCGCGGUAAUACGGAGGAUGCGAGCGUUAUCCGGAUUUAUUGGGUUUAAAGGGUGCGUAGGUGGUUAAUUAAGUCAGCGGUGAAAGUUUGUGGCUCAACCAUAAAAUUGCCGUUGAAACUGGUUGACUUGAGUAUAUAUGAGGUAGGCGGAAUGCGUGGUGUAGCGGUGAAAUGCAUAGAUAUCACGCAGAACUCCGAUUGCGAAGGCAGCUUACUAAACUAUAACUGACACUGAAGCACGAAAGCGUGGGGAGCAAACAGGAUUAGAUACCCCUGUAGUC
rnacentral:rRNA from 1 species